UACGUAGGGUGCAAGCGUUAAUCGGAAUUACUGGGCGUAAAGCGUGCGCAGGCGGUUUUGUAAGUCUGUCGUGAAAUCCCCGGGCUCAACCUGGGAAUUGCGAUGGAGACUGCAAGGCUAGAGUUUGGCAGAGGGGGGUAGAAUUCCACGUGUAGCAGUGAAAUGCGUAGAGAUGUGGAGGAACACCGAUGGCGAAGGCAGCCCCCUGGGUCAAAGCUGACGCUCAUGCACGAAAGCGUGGGGAGCAAACAGG
rnacentral:rRNA from 1 species